rnacentral:ncRNA from 1 species
UGAAAUGCGAUGAAGAGAAGAGUAGAUAGACGAGUUCUUUUCCAGAGAGCCCCGCUUGCUGAAAAGGGGUAAAGAGUUGUUUAUUGAAGAAAGUCUCAGAGCACCGCAUCGGAACCCGAACAGCGGGGGGUGGUGUGGCAGGGGCUCCUGUUACAGAGCUAGAGUAUAAGCGUCGCCCGGGGCGAUGCCGUACUCGAAGAGGCUGAAAUGGCGACAUUUCGGCGAAUUUGGGGUGGUACCGCGAGCGUAAAUCUCGUCCCUAAG